rnacentral:rRNA from 1 species
GGUACACGAGCGGCGAACGGGUGAGUAACACGUGGGUGAUCUGCCCUGCACUUCGGGAUAAGCCUGGGAAACUGGGUCUAAUACCGGAUAUGACCUCAGGUUGCAUGACUUGGGGUGGAAAGAUUUAUCGGUGCAGGAUGGGCCCGCGGCCUAUCAGCUUGUUGGUGGGGUAAUGGCCUACCAAGGCGACGACGGGUAGCCGACCUGAGAGGGUGACCGGCCACACUGGGACUGAGACACGGCCCAGACUCCUACGGGAGGCAGCAGUGGGGAAUAUUGCACAAUGGGCGAAAGCCUGAUGCAGCGACGCCGCGUGAGGGAUGACGGCCUUCGGGUUGUAAACCUCUUUCAGCAGGGACGAAGCGCAAGUGACGGUACCUGCAGAAGAAGCACCGGCUAACUACGUGCCAGCAGCCGCGGUAAUACGUAGGGUGCAAGCGUUGUCCGGAAUUACUGGGCGUAAAGAGUUCGUAGGCGGUUUGUCGCGUCGUUUGUGAAAACCAGCAGCUCAACUGCUGGCUUGCAGGCGAUACGGGCAGACUUGAGUACUGCAGGGGAGACUGGAAUUCCUGGUGUAGCGGUGAAAUGCGCAGAUAUCAGGAGGAACACCGGUGGCGAAGGCGGGUCUCUGGGCAGUAACUGACGCUGAGGAACGAAAGCGUGGGUAGCGAACAGGAUUAGAUACCCUGGUAGUCCACGCCGUAA